GUCUACGGCCAUACCACCCUGAACGCGCCCGAUCUCGUCUGAUCUUGGAAGCUAAGCAGGGUCGGGCCUGGUUAGUACUUGGAUGGGAGAAAUACAGUCAAUAACAUUAUACUAACUUCAUGGUGACAGAUGGUA
rnacentral:rRNA from 1 species